GACGGAGGAUGCAAGUGUUAUCCGGAAUCACUGGGCGUAAAGCGUCUGUAGGUGGUUUAAUAAGUCAACUGUUAAAUCUUGAGGCUCAACCUCAAAAUCGCAGUCGAAACUAUUAGGCUAGAGUAUAGUAGGGGUAAAGGGAAUUUCCAGUGGAGCGGUGAAAUGCGUAGAGAUCGGCAGGAACACCCAGGGGGAAACCAGUCGACUGGGCAUCUACUGACGCUGAGGUGCGAGAGCGUGGGGAGCGAACCGG
rnacentral:rRNA from 1 species